AUAUGAAUUACCUGGGGAGCUUGUUAAAUUCCAGAUUCCGAUUCAGUAGGUCUGGGUAGGGCCUGAGAAUCUGCAUUUCCAGCAAGCUCCCAGGUGAUGCUGAU
rnacentral:pre_miRNA from 1 species